UACGGAGGGGGCUAGCGUUGUUCGGAAUUACUGGGCGUAAAGCGCACGUAGGCGGACUGUUAAGUCGGGGGUGAAAUCCUGGGGCUCAACCUCAGAAUUGCCUCCGAUACUGGCAGUCUCGAGUGCGGGAGAGGUGAGUGGAAUUCCCAGUGUAGAGGUGAAAUUCGUAGAUAUCAGGAGGAACACCAGUGGCGAAGGCGGCUUCCUGGACACCAACUGACGCUGAGACGCGAAAGCGUGGGGAGCAAACAGG
rnacentral:rRNA from 1 species